rnacentral:snRNA from 1 species
GUGCUCGCUUCAGCAGCACAUAUACUAAAAUUGGAACGAUACAGAGAAGAUUAGCACGGCCCCUGCGCAAGGAUGACACACAAAUUCGUAAAGCAUUCCAUAUUUUU